UCCCCGGUAGCUCAGUGGUAGAGCAACCGGCUGUUAACCGGUUGGUCGCUGGUUCGAAUCCGGCCCGGGGGA
rnacentral:tRNA from 1 species